UUUUUAUUGUGAAGGACUUUUAGAUUGGUUCAGCUGCUGCUCACUAACUCUCACGUUCCUCUGCUCGCGAUGCGAUUCACAUAUCGAUCAAUUUAUUCAAAAGAUCCAAAGACAAAGAACAGGUACAUUAUGGUAUAAUUUUAUAUUAUUAUUUAUAGUCUUAUUGUUAAUAGCUUCAGUCGCGUUGGUAUUUAAUUUUUCAUUUGCUCGUUUAGCUAUGUAUGACAGUUAACAAUGUUGGUGUAUUACAAUUAUUUACGCGUGUAGGCCACUCCAACUCUCGAUAUUUCAAAUAGAUUAGUGUGCUCUCUCAGAGCUGGGAGAUUUCAUCCUUAUUUUAACAUAUUACUCGAGACGGUGUUUCUCACAGCGUUCUCGGGUUCAUGCGUUCUCGGGUUCAUGCGUUCAUGCAUACAUGCAUACAUGUCUCCUACUCAGACUUUUCCCCUACGCGGGGUAUUUAAUUUUUCAUUUGCUUGUUUAGCUAUGUAUGACAGUUAACAAUUUUGGUGUAUUACAAUUAUUUAUGUGUGUUGGCCACUCCAACUCACACUCUAUUUUGAAUAGAUUAGUGUGCUCUCUGGGAGAUUUCAUCCUUAUUUUAACAUAUUACUCGAGACGGUGUUUCUCACAGCGUUCUACGCGUUCUACGGGUUUACGCGUUCUACGGGUUUACGCGUUCUACGGGUUUACGCGUUCUACGGGUUUACGGGUUUAUGCGUUCUUGCGUUCAUGCGCAAAUGCGUACACGUCUCCUACUCAGACUUUUUCCCCUACACGGGGCCUGACUUUCGCCGAUGUCACCUUCUCUUUCUUGCAAGGCAUUUUUCCAUCUAAAAGCGAUAGCCUAGGAGCAGCUGUUACUAUUAUCAUUUCAAGAAUCAACAACUCUCUGUCCUUACGCUUCCAUGUUCCUUUAUCUCAAGCUUCGGCAAUGCACGUCCCCGAAUCACCUGUUUAUUUGCGGCCUGCCAAUGCCUCAAGGGUGGUUCAGAGUCCAUCUCGCGACGGUGGUAGAAGGGUGCGGCCUACCAUCUCCCCUCUACACUCAGUGGCGCCACCAUGGGGUGGCGAGGGGUGGCUAAUGCCACCCCAAAAUCAUUAUUUGCCACCCCUAAGACAAUUUUUAUUAUGCAUAUUCAUUUAAAAUAUAUAAUGUAGUCUAGAUUAUAUUAUAAUGUAGUCCCCCCGCCAACAAUCGCUGCCCGGGAUGUUUAUAGAUUUGCUGUGGCCCCCAUUGGCCACCCCUGGAAUAAUCUUCUGGAGGCGCCACUGUCUACACUGGCCACUCCUCCCGGAUUGGAGCGGCAACCACAGCCGCUGAACAAGGGUUGCCGGUCGCGUCUAUCAAACGGCUGGGAAGGCGGUCUUCCACAGUUUACGAAUCCUACAUCCGGUUGAAUUCAUGGUUCUUCCUCCAAGCGCACACGAUGCUCUAACGUCGGUUAAGGCAGGUUUAUCACGUUUGCUACUACAGCUGUUUUUGGCGGCCUGUUUCCAUUCUAGUUUUAGUCUUGGUGUCAAGGUGUCAUUUUUGUUUUUAUUAGUUUAGUCACGUUCAUACUCUUUCCAGUGAUAUCGAAAUUCCGUUUAGGUAUUAUCAAAGAUACAAGUGCGUAGAUUUGUUAAAUAAGGUAAACGGUCGAAAAUUGAUGUCGUUAUGUCUCAACAGUUGAAGUUCCAGUUGGACAAAAUAACGUAUUACAGUUUAUCGCCUAGUUUAGGUCAACGGAAAUGAAGACAUUUUAGCAGUCUUAUUUUGUAAAACACUUUCAGUCUCGUGUGUAUUCGCCAACAACAUUGCACUACGUAUUUAAUUAUAGUUAUUGUCAUAUGACCAGCAUUGUUCUCCUCACGCGAUAAAAGUUCGUUGAUGACGACAUUUAGUCAUAAUUUUCGGUGUCAAAAGCAACACUAUUUGCAACUACUGGUGGUGGUGGUUAUCAGGUACUAAACUCAUAAAGCAAAAUUUGGCUAUAUAACUCAAGGUUAACCUGCAGCAACCCCGGCAAGUUUGACCACGUCGGUGGAUCAUCUAGAAAACACUCUUGAGUUCGGUGUCACGUUGGUGGCAUAUCAUGGAAAAAAUAAAACUGAAGGUUCGCAGCGGCGACCCCGGUGAGUGCGUUGGCCAAAGCGCAGCGGUAACAACUCGGGCACUCGUAACUAUGACCACGUCGGUGGCACGUUAUCUAUUACUCAUGGUUGACUGCAGUAACCCCGGUGAGUGCGUUGACCAUGUCAACGCACAAUUGGGGCACAACUCAGGCACUCGUGAGUUUGUUGCACACGUCGGUGCGGUACAACACAGUACUCAACGUCCUACAGCCGGUCGAGUUCAAGGUUCUUUCUUCAAGCGCACACGAUGCUCUCUAACGUCGGUUAAGACAGGUUUUACACGUUUGCAACCAUAGCUGUUUUUGGCGGCCUGUUCCUUUCUAGUGUUAGUCUAGUCUUGUGUCAAGCUGUCAUUUUAGUUUUUAUUAGUUUUAGUUACAUUCAUACUCUUUCCAGUGUUAUCGUAAUUCCAUUUAGAUAUUGUCGAAGUUACAAGUGCGUAGUUUUGUUAAAUAAGGUAAACGGUUGAAAAUUGAUGUUAUGUCUGGAACAGUUGAAGUUCCAGUUGAACAAAAUAACGUUAUAAGUCUUUAUCGCCUAGUUUAGGUCAACGAAAAUGAAGAGACAUUUUAGCAGUCUUAUUUUUUUAGUCUUGUUUUAUUCGCCAACUAUAUUUUACUAUGCUUUUAAUCACAGCUAUUGUCACACGCCCAGCAUCCACGUUGCGUCCAGUCUCGUUUUUCUCACGCGAUAAAGGCUUGUUGAUGACGACUCUUAGCCAUAAUUUUCAUUGCCAAAAGCAACACUAUUCUGGCGGCCUGUUUCCAUUCCAGGGUUAUUCUAGUCUUAGUGUCUAGCUGUUAUUUUAGUCUAUUCGUUUUAGUUACGUCUAUAUUCUUUCUAGCGUUAUCGAAAUAUAUUGCACUAUGUAUUUAACUACAGUUAUUGUCACACGCCCAGCAUGCACGUUGCGUCCUGUUUGUUGUUUUUGUUUGUUUGUUUUUCUUUCUCACGCGAUAAAGGUUCGUGAUGACGAUAUUUUGUCAUUAUUUUCGUUGCUAAAAGCGACAUUAUUUGCAACUACUGGUGGUGGUGGUUAUCAGGUACUAAAUUCAUAAAGCAAAAUUCGGUUUCAUAACUCAGGUUAACCUGCAGCAACCCCGGCGAGUGUGACCACGUCGGUGGAUCAUCUAGAAAACACUCUUGAGUUCGCUGUCACGUCAGUGGCGUAAAAUAGGAAAAUAAAACUCAAGGUUGCAGCGGCAACCCCGGUGAGUGCGUGACCACGUCGGUGGCACAUCAAGGGCACUCGUGAGUAUGACCACGUCGGUGGCACGUUAUCUAGUACUCAUGGUUUGACUGCAGUAACCCCGGUGAAUGCGUUGCCCACGUCGGUGGGAACAACUCAAGCACUCGUGAGUUCGUUGCGCACGUCGGUGCGGUACAACACAGAACUCUACGUUCGUUGCAGCAAAUCCGGUGAGUGCGUUGCCCACGUCGGUGGGAACAACUCAAGCACUCGUGAGUUCGUUGCGCACGUCGGUGCGGUACAACACAGAACUCCACGUUCGCUGCAGCAACCCUGGUAGUGCGUUGACCACGUCGGUGGGCACUACUCAGGCACAUGCAAAUUUAAUUACCACGUCGGUGGCAUAAUAUCAAAAGCUCAAGUGCAGGGCACUCGGAGUUCAUUGACCACGUCGGUGUUCAACACGGAAGUUCACAAUAUUUGCUGCAGCAACACCGGUGAGUGCGUGACCACGUCGGUGGCACAGCAAGGGCACUCGUGAUUUCAUUGACCACGUCGGUGUUCAACACGGAACUUCACAAUAUUUGCUGCAGCAACACCGGUGAGUGCGUGACCACGUCGGUGGCACAUCAAGGGCACUUGUGAGUUCGUUGACCACAUCGGUGGUUCAACGCGAAAGCACUCAGGUCACGCAGCGACCCCGGAGAGUGAAUCGACCACGGCAGUUGGUACAGCACGAAAGCACUCGUGGCUCGCUGCGUAACAGCUGCAGAGUGCUCUAAAUUUUAAUUGAUCUCGCUGAGGUAUUUUAAGUUGACUGCUUUUACGUGAUUCAUCGAUCUCGCGACGGUUUUAAGCUUAUCGUUUUAUGGUAUGUAUGAUUGACUCUUAAUAUGUCGUAUAUUGGGUAUGCCUUUUAUCUUCCAGAAGCAGUAUAGAUCCUUGUCCACUUCUUCUACGCGGGUAUGUAUGGUCUCAUUACCCCCUUUCGCUAUUCUAUUUUUGGGGUCGGCUCCGCCCCUGCUAGUCCUGGCAGGAUACGCCGAGUCCGCACGUCACCCUGGAUCAGUGACGAGGCUCAUGCCAAAGAUUUACCAUGCAAAAUAUUCCCAUGUCGUUAUUUAAAUAAAUCCUGUUCAUACUUAUCGGUGAUCGAGUCUUUAUGGGAGAAAUGUUAAGCUUGCUGGUAGUUCUACCAGGAGGACUCAAAUCACGCGCGGCUGGCCACCAAUCACCAGCUACCAAUCACCUGCCUACACCUGCUCUAUAAAGAGUAGUCUAACAUAUGUCUUUGCUGCUCAGGUCUUCGUUCGACGCACCUCCAUCCACCCCACCACCAGGUCGGCCUCAGUCUACUUGUCCAGGGGAAGGCUCCGCCCCUGCUAGUCCUGGCAGGAUACGCCGAGUCCGCACGUCACCCUGGAUCAGUGACGAGGCUCAUGCCAAAGAUUUACCAUGCAAAAUAUUCCCAUGUCGUUAUUUAAAUAAAUCCUGUUCAUACUUAUCGGUGAUCGAGUCUUUAUGGGAGAAAUGCAAUUUGAACAUAGCAGUCAGGCUACUGCUUCUAUGUUUUGAGCCAAAUAAAAAAAAAAAUUGUUUUAUUUUUUUUAAAUAAAACAAUUGCGUUAA
ensembl:lncRNA